rnacentral:rRNA from 1 species
AAGUCGAACGCUGAAGCUCAGCUUUUGUUGGGUGGAUGAGUGGCGAACGGGUGAGUAACACGUGAGUAACCUGCCCUCUUCUUUGGGAUAACGCCCGGAAACGGGUGCUAAUACUGGAUAUUCACUGAUCUUCGCAUGGGGGUUGGUGGAAAGGUUUGUUCUGGUGGGGGAUGGGCUCGCGGCCUAUCAGCUUGUUGGUGGGGUGAUGGCCUACCAAGGCUUUGACGGGUAGCCGGCCUGAGAGGGUGACCGGUCACAUUGGGACUGAGAUACGGCCCAGACUCCUACGGGAGGCAGCAGUGGGGAAUAUUGCACAAUGGGCGCAAGCCUGAUGCAGCGACGCCGCGUGAGGGAUGGAGGCCUUCAGGUUGUAAACCUCUUUCGCUCAUGGUCAAGCCGCGACGUGGGUUGUGGUGAGGGUAGUGGGUAAAGAAGCGCCGGCUAACUACGUGCCAGCAGCCGCGGUAAUACGUAGGGCGCGAGCGUUGUCCGGAAUUAUUGGGCGUAAAGGGCUUGUAGGCGGUUGGUCGCGUCUGCCGUGAAAUUCUCUGGCUUAACUGGGGGCGUGCGGUGGGUACGGGCUGACUUGAGUGCGGUAGGGGAGACUGGAACUCCUGGUGUAGCGGUGGAAUGCGCAGAUAUCAGGAAGAACACCGGUGGCGAAGGCGGGUCUCUGGGCCGUUACUGAC